UACGUAGGGGGCAAGCGUUGUCCGGAUUUAUUGGGCGUAAAGCGCUCGCAGGCGGCUCGAUGCGUCGUGCGUGAAACACCCCGCUCAACUGGGAGGGUGCGCCGGAAACUGGGGUGGCUGGAGCGCGGAAGAGGCGGAGUGGAAUUCCUGGUGUAGCGGUGAAAUGCGCAGAUAUCAGGAGGAACACCUAUUGCGAAGGCAGCUCGCUGGGACGUAAACUGACGCUGGAGACGCGAAAGCGUGGGGAGAAACAGG
rnacentral:rRNA from 1 species